UACGUAGGGGGCAAGCGUUGUCCGGAAUCAUUGGGCGUAAAGCGCGUGUAGGCGGCCCGGUAAGUCCGCUGUGAAAGUCCAGGGCUCAACCCUGGAAUGCCGGCGGAUACUGUCGGGCUCGAGUCCGGAAGAGGCGAGUGGAAUUCCUGGUGUAGCGGUGAAAUGCGCAGAUAUCAGGAGGAACACCAAUGGCGAAGGCAGCUCGCUGGGACGGUACUGACGCUGAGACGCGAAAGCGUGGGGAGCAAACAGG
rnacentral:rRNA from 1 species